GAUGAAGAACGCAGCAAAAUGCGAUAAGAAAUGUGAAUUGCAGAAUUCAGUGAAUCAUCGAAUCUUUGAACGCACAUUGCGCCCGCUGGUAUUCCGGCGGGCAUGCCUGUUCGAGCGUCAUUUCAACCCUCAAGCCCCCGGGUUUGGUGUUGGGGAUCGGCUCUGCCCUUCUGGGCGGUGCCGCCCCCGAAAUACAUUGGCGGUCUCGCUGCAGCCUCCAUUGCGUAGUAGCUAACACCUCGCAACUGGAACGCGGCGCGGCCAUGCCGUAAAACCCCAACUUCUGAAUGUUGACCUCGGAUUAGGUAGGAAUACCCGCUGAACUUAAGCAUAUCAAUAAGCGGAGGA
rnacentral:misc_RNA from 1 species